AUCACUAAGCGGAGGAAAAGAAACUAACCAGGAUUCCCCUAGUAACGGCGAGUGAAGCGGGAAGAGCCCAGCACCGAAUCCCUCACCCUUGCGGUGGCGGGAACUGUGGUGUUCAGGACAUGCCUAUGAGGUUGCGCACGGGUGUCCAAGUCCUCCUGAUCGGGGCCUUUACCCAGGGUGGGUGUCAGGCCUUUACUGGCACGCGGUCGCAGUCCCUAAGAGCGUCCUAGGAGUCGGGUUGUUUGAGAAUGCAGCCCAAAGAGGGUGGUAAACUCCAUCUAAGGCUAAAUACUGACACGAGUCCGAUAGC
rnacentral:rRNA from 1 species